AUUGAACGCUGGCGGCAGGCUUAACACAUGCAAGUCGAGCGGUAACAGAGAGAAGCUUGCUUCUCUGCUGACGAGCGGCGGACGGGUGAGUAAUGCCUAGGAAUCUGCCUAGUAGUGGGGGAUAACUUGCCGAAAGGUAAGCUAAUACCGCAUACGUCCUACGGGAGAAAGGAGGGGACCUUCGGGCCUUUCGCUAUUAGAUGAGCCUAGGUCGGAUUAGUUAGUUGGUGAGGUAAUGGCUCACCAAGACCGCGAUCCGUAACUGGUCUGAGAGGAUGAUCAGUCACACUGGAACUGAGACACGGUCCAGACUCCUACGGGAGGCAGCAGUGGGGAAUCUUCUGCAAUGGGCGCAAGCCUGACAGAGCGGCGUCAUGUGAAGGAAGAAGGCCUGAAAUAGGUUGUAAACUUCUUUUACUGAGUAAUGAAUACUGACAACGCAGUAAAAAAGUAUCGGCUAACUCCGUGCCAGCCGCCGCAGUAA
rnacentral:rRNA from 1 species